CUUUCUUCCCCCACUGGAAACCUUGUUUUUCCUGCAAGUUAUUCAGGAAGUUAACACACACACAAAAAACCCUAUUAGACACAAACGUAUCUAUAUAAUAUGAUGCCGGGAUUGUCACUUUGUCUGGAUGUCACUCUGAAGCCUAGAAUGUCUGUUGAGUCAGUGAUAUACAAAACUUGUCUGAGAGCUCUUUUUGUUCAGAAUAUUACCAGGUUGACUCACCACUGGUUCCUGAGAGAGCCCGAUGGAAUGCUCGAGCGCAAAGGUUCUGUGGCAGUUGGAAUGUGACAGUUGAUCACAGAAGAUGGGAGUAGCAGCUAUUUGGAAUGACAAAGAUGUGGUUUUGCCUCCAGCCAGGUGGCAGUUCUGUGCACAAACUAUGGGGAACACGUACAAAUGGCAACACUGCUCUCUGUAACAGUUCAUGGAAACAGGAGCCUCCAUUUUCUGUUUUUUACAAAUUACACCCAUAUGGCAGCAUAGACCUUCAGCUAAUAGAGAGUUCCCACAUCUGCCAGAGCGCAAAGAAGGAAUUGCUAUUCCUGCUCCCAAGUGGAAAGGAAAAAUGCCAUCCCAAAUCUUGUUCCAUUUGACAUUUUCGGAGGAAUUCCUUGGUUUGCAUGAGAAUAUCCAUGAUUUUGCAGAUAUCCUCAGGCUUUCCCAACAGUUGAAGGCAUACAGAAAGCAUUCUCCUUUUGAGUGAUGUAAGGGGAUGGAGGUCAGACAGAUCUCGCCAUAGCAGUCUUCUACUUUUCCAUCCACGCAGAGUGGUAUAUCGAGCACUGUUGAUUCAUUCUCACUUUGUCACAUGUGACCGAUUUAACAAAUGUUUUGUCUAGCAAAUGCCUCCUUGAAAAUGUUGGGUGAGUCCUUUCUUGAU